ACGCGUCUGCCUACGGAGCAGAAGAUUGCAGGUUCGAAUCCUGCCGUGGUCGAAAUUUUUUUCU
ensembl:ncRNA C03B8.6 ncRNA